rnacentral:pre_miRNA from 1 species
AAAUGAAUCACCCCAGGAUCUUGUUAAAAUGCAGCUUCUGAUUCAGUACGUCCAGAAUGGGGCUGAAAUUCUGCAUUUCUAACCAGCUCCCAGGCGAUGCGGAU